rnacentral:rRNA from 1 species
GGGGGGGGGGGGGGGGGGGCGGGGGGGGGGGGGGGGGGGGGGGGGGGCGCUGGUUGUGUGGGGGGCUCGAGGGGCGAACGGGUGGGUAACACGGGAGUAACCUGCCCUUGACUUUGGGAUAACUUCAGGAAACUGGGGCUAAUACCGGAUAGGAGCUCCUGCUGCAUGGUGGGGGUUGGAAAGUUUCGGCGGUUGGGGAUGGACUCGCGGCUUAUCAGCUUGUUGGUGGGGUAGUGGCUUACCAAGGCUUUGACGGGUAGCCGGCCUGAGAGGGUGACCGGCCACAUGGGGACUGAGAUACGGCCCAGACUCCUACGGGAGGCAGCAGUGGGGAAUAUUGCACAAUGGGCGGAAGCCUGAUGCAGCAACGCCGCGUGCUGGAUGACGGCCUUCGGGUUGUAAACCGCUUUCGCCUGUGACGAAGCGUGAGUGACGGUAAUGGGUAAAGAAGCACCGGCUAACUACGU